UUUAAGCUUCCUACGGGAGGCUGCAGUGGGGAAUCUUGCGCAAUGGGCGAAAGCCUGACGCAGCCAUGCCGCGUGAAUGAUGAAGGUCUUAGGAUUGUAAAAUUCUUUCACCGGGGACGAUAAUGACGGUACCCGGAGAAGAAGCCCCGGCUAACUUCGUGCCAGCAGCCGCGGUAAUACGAAGGGGGCUAGCGUUGCUCGGAAUUACUGGGCGUAAAGGGAGCGUAGGCGGACAUUUAAGUCAGGGGUGAAAUCCCGGGGCUCAACCUCGGAAUUGCCUUUGAUACUGGGUGUCUUGAGUAUGAGAGAGGUGUGUGGAACUCCGAGUGUAGAGGUGAAAUUCGUAGAUAUUCGGAAGAACACCAGUGGCGAAGGCGACACACUGGCUCAUUACUGACGCUGAGGCUCAGGAGCGUGGGGAGCAAACAGGAUUAGAUACCCUUGUAGUCGAAUUCUUAUC
rnacentral:rRNA from 1 species